UUAGAGUUUGAUCCUGGCUCAGAAUCAACGCUGGCGGCGUGCCUAACACAUGCAAGUCGAACGCGAAAGUGGAGCAAUCCAUGAGUAGAGUGGCAAACGGGUGAGUAACGCGUGGGUGACCUGCCUUCGAGUGGGGGAUAACGUUCCGAAAGGGACGCUAAUACCGCAUGACAUCCUGCCUUUGAAGAGGUGGAGAUCAAAGCUGGGGAUCGCAAGACCUAGCACUCGAUGAGGGGCCCGCGUCUGAUUAGCUAGUUGGUGGGGUAACGGCUCACCAAGGCAACGAUCAGUAUCCGGCCUGAGAGGGCGGACGGACACACUGGGACUGAGACACGGCCCAGACUCCUACGGGAGGCAGCAGUGGGGAAUUGUUCGCAAUGGGCGCAAGCCUGACGACGCAACGCCGCGUGGAGGAUGAAGAUCUUCGGGUCGUAAACUCCUUUCGAUCGAGACGAACAGUCUCCGGGUGAACAAUCCGGAGGUUUGACGGUACCGAGAGAAGAAGCCCCGGCUAACUCCGUGCCAGCAGCCGCGGUAAUACGGGGGGGGCAAGCGUUGUUCGGAAUUGCUGGGCGUAAAGGGCUCGUAGGCGGCCAACUAAGUCAGACGUGAAAUCCCUCGGCUUAACCGGGGAACUGCGUCUGAUACUGGAUGGCUUGAGUUUGGGAGAGGGA
rnacentral:rRNA from 1 species